rnacentral:rRNA from 1 species
AGUGAACGCUGGCGGUAGGCCUAACACAUGCAAGUCGAACGGCAGCACAGGAGAGCUUGCUCUCUGGGUGGCGAGUGGCGGACGGGUGAGGAAUACAUCGGAAUCUACUCUGUCGUGGGGGAUAACGUAGGGAAACUUACGCUAAUACCGCAUACGACCUACGGGUGAAAGCAGGGGACCUUCGGGCCUUGCGCGAUUGAAUGAGCCGAUGUCGGAUUAGCUAGUUGGCGGGGUAAAGACCCACCAAGGCGACGAUCCGUAGCUGGUCUGAGAGGAUGAUCAGCCACACUGGAACUGAGACACGGUCCAGCGUCCUACGGGAGGCAGCAGUGGGGAAUAUUGGACAAUGGGCGCAAGCCUGAUCCAGCCAUACCGCGUGGGUGGAGAAGGCCUUCGGGUUGUAAAGCCCUUUUGUUGGGAAAGAAAUCCAGCUGGCUAAUACCCGGUUGGGAUGACGGUACCCAAAGAAUAAGCACCGGCUAACUUCGUGCCAGCCGCCGCCGUAA